UGCAGUCGACGAACUUCCGUUAAUUGAUUAUGACGUACUUGUACUGAUUGAGAUUUUAACACGAAGUGAGUGGCGAACGGGUGAGUAACACGUGGGUAACCUGCCCAGAAGUAGGGGAUAACACCUGGAAACAGAUGCUAAUACCGUAUAACAGAGAAAACCGCAUGGUUUUCUUUUAAAAGAUGGCUCUGCUAUCACUUCUGGAUGGACCCGCGGCGUAUUAGCUAGUUGGUGAGGUAAAGGCUCACCAAGGCAGUGAUACGUAGCCGACCUGAGAGGGUAAUCGGCCACAUUGGGACUGAGACACGGCCCAGACUCCUACGGGAGGCAGCAGUAGGGAAUCUUCCACAAUGGACGCAAGUCUGAUGGAGCAACGCCGCGUGAGUGAAGAAGGGUUUCGGCUCGUAAAGCUCUGUUGUUAAAGAAGAACGUGGGUAAGAGUAACUGUUUACCCAGUGACGGUAUUUAACCAGAAAGCCACGGCUAACUACGUGCCAGCAGCCNGCGGU
rnacentral:rRNA from 1 species